UACGUAGGGUGCAAGCGUUAAUCGGCAUUACUGGGCGUAAAGCGUGCGCAGGCGGUUCGCUAAGACAGAUGUGAAAUCCCCGGGCUUAACCUGGGAACUGCAUUUGUGACUGGCGGGCUAGAGUAUGGCAGAGGGGGGUAGAAUUCCACGUGUAGCAGUGAAAUGCGUAGAGAUGUGGAGGAAUACCGAUGGCGAAGGCAGCCCCCUGGGCCAAUACUGACGCUCAUGCACGAAAGCGUGGGGAGCAAACAGG
rnacentral:rRNA from 1 species